UUGUCUUUUAAAUGAAGACCUGUAUGAAUGGCAUGACGAGGGCUUAACUGUCUCCUUUUUCCAGUCAAUAAAAUUGAUCUCCCCGUGCAGAAGCGGGGAUAACCACAUAAGACGAGAAGACCCUAUGGAGCUUUAGACACCAGAAUAGACCAUGUUAAACACCCCUAUACAAAGGAUAAAACCAAUUGGCCCCUGUUCUAUAUGUCUUUGGUUGGGGCGACCGCGGGGUAAUAAAAAACCCCCACGUGGACCGGGAGCACAUUACUCCUACAACCCAGAGUUACAACUCAAAGUAACAGAAUAUCUGACCAAUAAGAUCCGGCACUAGCCGAUCAACGGACCGAGUUACCCUAGGGAUAACAGCGCAAUCCCCUUUUAGAGCCCAUAUCGACAAGGGGGUUUACGACCUCGAUGUUGGAUCAGGACAUCCUAAU
rnacentral:rRNA from 1 species